rnacentral:lncRNA from 1 species
UGUUCACAUAUAAUGUCUGAGCACUAGAGAUGGGAAUUUCGGUUCUUUCAGCUGACUUGGAUCUUUAACUCUCGAUCAGUGAAGUGUUGGGGGACCUCAUAUGUAUAAUCUGUUAUUAACAGAAUUAUUAUUAAGGUCCCACAUGCUCAGACAAAGGAAAUACUGCGGCCUGCAUGUAAAGUCCUCAUCCUGAUAGUAGUGAAUGAGAACAAAGAGAUUUCAAAUCUCGGCGCCAAAACCAGGCGCCAGGCUGGGGAACCACACCUGGCUCCCCGCUGUGAAGGCCGAAACCCCGCUGACACAAGCGACAAACGGAGGAGAAACUUGGACGUCAGCCAUCCUGAUUGGACCAAACAAUAGGAUGGGCGUGACCAAAAACACGGUUAUAAAAGUCGCCGUGACCCAAGACUCGUCCCUUGUCCUCUUCGAUCACCCGUUACCCCUUGUUCUCUUCGAUCUCCCGUUUCCCCUUCCUCUCUUCGACCCUCUCGCUGCCCCACCUGGAGCUUCCCUCGGCACCAGCACGCCUGAAGCCUCCACCGCAGCCAGCAGCUGAACCAACGGAGACGUCGUCACAGAGAACGGGCCUGAUCACCCAUCUACUUCCAGCCAUACGGCAGGAAACCGCCAGCUUAACCGCCUCACUCGCCGCCGCAUCAGCUGAUCACGACGCGAUCACCGCGACGCACACCUGGACCGGACCGGACCGCAACAGAGCAAGCACGCACGCACGCACGCACGCAACGCCGGAGCUUCUCACCAGGAUUGAGCAGUAAGGCAGAGGCAUUCUUAAGUCUGAGCAGAGUAGAACUCUUAGGGUAUCAGUAAUUGUUUUAUUGUUGUGUUUCUUUUCCUGCACACACGAUCUGACCGCUGUGUAUUUCCGCGAUCACGUGACUGUAACGCUGUUACAGAUCUACGUGAAUCUAAGAGGUGCACAUUGAAGUGUUGUAACCUGUGAUUUCGCUAGCUUAAGUGCUUUAUUGUGUUACUGUGUAGUGCUCUGUUUCUGCUGCGACCACGCCAAGCGCACGUUUCAACCACUGCACGCUUCCGCGAUCACGUGACUAUAUCGCAGAAUAUAGCCCCACGUGUUUGUGUGACCACGAGCCUUAUCCACGCUAGUCCCACUUCACACUCCUUUACACGCUUCUUUCCCUGUGAGCGCCAGACACGCGCGCUCCAUUCAAAGGGCUCACCGGCACACGCGCGCAGCUGUGCCACCUCACCACGCCCCUAAAGGGGGGCGCUCUCCUCCUCCUCCUCUUCUCUCUUUCUCUCUCUCUCUCUCACCCUCACACACAUAUACACACACACACACACACACACACACCCCUCUUAUCUCAGGUAACGCGCAUACACAUACAGAACGCUAGACGAACACACCAUAUAAUUAAGUUGUGAUUUGCUGAGUUAUUCAAGAUAGUGUUGACACUAGAGUUAAUAUUAACUGUUUAAUAAAGCGUUCAUAAUUUAACUAGUCGUUGUUUGU